UACGUAGGUGGCAAGCGUUAUCCGGAUUUACUGGGUGUAAAGGGCGUGUAGGCGGGAAAGCAAGUCAGAUGUGAAAACCAUGGGCUCAACCUGUGGCCUGCAUUUGAAACUGUUUUUCUUGAGUACUGGAGAGGCAGACGGAAUUCCUAGUGUAGCGGUGAAAUGCAUAGAUAUUAGGAGGAACACCAGUGGCGAAGGCGGUCUGCUGGACAGCAACUGACGCUGAGGCGCGAAAGCGUGGGGAGCAAACAGG
rnacentral:rRNA from 1 species